rnacentral:lncRNA from 1 species
CAAUGUUGACUGUAAUGAGCAGAGAGCCCACUCCUGCUGCUAGGAGGGGCUCUGGACCAAAUCUCAGGCCUCCCCAGGCCCUCUGUGCUCACCCCAAGAUCCCAGGCCUCCAGGGCCUUGACCUGGUGGAUGAGCUUUCCUGGUACAAAGAGCCCAGUGCGGGCUGGAUGUUGAUGUGGAAGGUGCAGAAGAAAGGGGAAGCCGGAGUCAGAGGUCAGAUCAGGCAGCCCCGGGUCUCCCACAGCUGUGGGCACUGAGAGGAGGGCUCCUCCCUGCCUUGAAAAUGGGUGGCUCAUGGGCAGCUGCCACAGCAUGGACAAAGCAAAAGCUCCACCACAAAGUGGGUUUGAAGUAGAUGAGUGACCGUCUUGUGCAACAGGAACUUUCAGGGUCACACCCAGGUCUUGGCCAGGAACCAGUCUUCAGCUGGGGUCACUGGGCAGGAAGAUGGGGCUGUCUAGGCUGGGUGUCUGAGUGAGCUGGAGUGGGGGCACAGGAGAGGGCAGGCAUUGGGCAGAAACUGGGGAAGGGCAGCCCAUCACCACGUCCAUGGGGCCAGAAUAAGGGAGGAGACCACCCCUCAUAUUGUCUUAUGCCCAAUUUCUGCCUCCAAAGAAAGAAGAAGUAAAAACUAAGGCAGAAAUGAAAUCCACAGGCAGGCAGCCCUGCGCCACACCCCGGGCCUGGUAGUUAAAGAUCAACCCCUAAUCUAAUCGGUUAUGUUAUCUGUAGAUUACAGACAUUGUAUAGAAAAGCACUGUGAAAAUCCCUGUCCUGUUCUGUUCCGUUCUAAUUGCCAGUGCAUGCAGCCCCCAGUCACAUACCCCCUGCUUGCUCAAUUGAUCACGACCCUCUCAAGCAGACCCCCUUAGAGUUGUAAGCCCUUAAGAGGGACAGGAAUUGCUCACUCUGGGAGCUCGGUUUUUGAGACGCGAGUCUUGCCGAUGGUCCUGGCUGAAUAAAGCCCUUCCUUCUUUAACUUGAUGUCUGAGGGGUUUUGUCUGCGGCUCGUCCUGCUACAAAAUCACACGACUUUUGACCAGCUGUGUGAACUUGGGAAAGUUUAUUAACCUCUCUGUGAUUCAGUUUCCUCAUUAGUAAGACAAGGUUGAUGAGAAUAAUCUCCUUGAGAGGUGAAGUGACCCAAGGCAUCGUGUUGGCUGACUUCCCUGUACCAGUCCAGUCAUCCAGAGCCCCAGUUGUGUGGGGCAGACUGGAAGGAUGGGAAGGGACGGUGUGGACACCUCCCGAAUGGGUUAUGGUUUUAACUAUUAGGAACACGGUUGAACUGCCAAAGGUGCGUGACUUAGUACAAUCGAUUCUGACACCCUGUCAAGGGGCAAUUUGUUCUCUUGAGUAUCAUAAACUUUCUAUCAAGAUGGAAAUCAAAGAGGACAAAACAGAAAGACAAACUUGAGAGGGGCUGAGUAGGAUUGGAGAGGUGAUGUCACCAGGCACAGUGGCAUUGGGAGGAGGCAACCUUUCAGUCAUCCCGAGGAUGUAAUAGACUUCCCCUACCCCACCCACCAGCCCACCGAGGCCCUGCCUGGCUGACCAGAAUGACAAGGGAUAGCAAGGGCCUGUUGCCGUUGGGACGCUGGUGCAGCAGGAUCAGGGGUGCAGUCAUGAACUAGGGCCUCCCAUGAAUGAUGCUGGGGUAGAGGCCUGAGAGGAUGGCAUGGUCCACCAGGUACAGAGAGCCCCUUUAGAGGAGGAGUGGAGGAGGAGGAGGGCUGAGCAGGCUUGGGUGAGGAAGGGGGAGUUAUUAUGAACCUGGGAGUAUUUCACUUAAAGGAACUUCAUUCUCUGGAGCCAGUGGGGUGUUCCAACUCAGAGCCACUUUGUGGUUCCAGAGAAAGAAGCCCCUCCCCUCUUCCCCCACCCAAGUAUUGAAGGUGACUCUACUGUGGCCAGGCCCAAGCAUCAGUGAGAGACAGUGAGAGAAGCGCGCCCCGCUGGAGGUCAGCACGAAAUGCACCCUCCUGGGGUCGCAGCACACCCCAUCCCAGUAGCCCAGGGAGGGGAGAGCAGCAGCUCUGGGGGGCACUCAGAUUAGCUGCAGAGCAUCCUCGGAAACCAUGGCAACCAACGCAUCACUAUAGUUUCUGUGCUGGGAGGGCCUGUCAAUGCAUGGCUCCUGGCAAAGUAGCAGGAGAGAGCACAUUCCUCACUCAGCCCUGCCCCUCAGCCCUCACCAUCUCAGAACAAUGCCCCUCCCUCCACUGGCGCCCGCUCAGCCUGCAGACUGGUCCCAGGGUCCAGCGCAGGGACCAUCAUGGCAUCAGUGACCAGAAAAUUCUUUGGGAGUCAGUGACAGCAGUGGAUCAGGAUGGAGUUGAGGUCAUUCAGAAACUAGGAGGUGAAGGAGGCGAAAAAGGUGUCCUCAUCCUCCUUCUAGUCUGAAAUGCAUACUCUGCAGAGGGUAGGCGUGGGGAGAGUCACCCUGGUCCUCUGCCUGCAGCAUGGCCACCACUGUCAGACCCAUCUCCAACUUCCCAGCAUAGCCACUUCCUGAUGCUGAUGGCUGGGCUGGGCUUCCCUCCUCUCUAGCACAACGGGUUGGAUGACUUUACUUUUCCAAGUGGUUUUCUUAGACAACAAAGGAUCGCAGGUUUGGUUUCUGCCUGAGGAGUCAUCUGAACUCCCUUGGCCCCACCCGUUUUGAGGGAAGCCUAACAUGCUCUGUGAUGUGCACUAAGACCUCACCUAGGAUAAGUUGAAUUUGAGAAAACUGGAAUACUAAAGAAUGCUGGAUACCAGAACGGCCCGUCCUUCCGGGCUUCCGCUCAGAGAGGCCCUUUUGAUUCCCUGCCAAAACUCACCAGUCCCGGGUCCCAUUCUCCUGCUACUUUGUCACAAGGCAGUGUAGAUGAUUUGUUAAACCAGAGUGAUCAUUUAAUAAGAGGUUGCAUUGCUUUGGGGCGUGGCACUGGUGCUAGGGUUUCUGAACCAAGAGUUUGACCUGUAUAGUUUAAAUGCAUCGUGCACCCAGCGGCAACAAGGAUAUUGGAGAGUGAGCACUACUGAAUCUUCCAGCUUGGUUUGCUUGUUUGUUUAUUUAUUUAUUUAUUUAUUCGGAGUUUCGCUCUUUCGCCCAGGCUGGAGUGAAGUGGCGCAAUCUCGGCUCACUACAACCUCUGCCUCCCAGGUUCAAGCAACUCUCCUGCGUCAGACUCCUGAGUAGCUGAGAUUACAGGUGCCUGCCACCAUGCGUGGCUAAUUUUUGUAUUUUUAGUAGAGACGGGGUUUUGCUGUGUUGGUCAGGCUGGUCUCAAACUCCUGACCUCAGGUGAUCCACCUGCCUCGGCCUCCUAAGCUUAGUUUCCUUCCUUCCUUCCUUUCUUUCUUCCUUUCUUUCUAUAGUCUCUCUCUGUCGCCCAGGCUGGAGUGCAGUGGUGCGAUCUCCGCUCACUGCUAGCUUUGCCUCCUGGGUUCAUGCCAUUCUCCUGCCUCAGCCUCCAGAGUAGCUGGGACUACAGGCACCCGCCACCACCCUGGCUAAUUUUGUUUUUGUAUUUUUAGUAGAGACAGGGUUUCACCAUGUUAGCCAGGAUGGUCUCGAUCUCCUGACCUUGUGAUCCUCCUCACCCUGCCUGGCCUGCCUCGGCCUUCCAAAGUGCUGGGAUUACAGGCGGGAGCCACCAUGCCCCACCCAAGCUUGAUUUAUUUUCAAGUCUGCAUGCCUAGGCCCCCAAGCAAGCAGGCACAAUUUUGGAAGGAAAAAGUCUUUCUGCUUCAGCCUUUUUUUCCCCUUAAAUUGCUGAGGAUAUUCAAGGACAGGUGUUCCCAGUGUUGGGGACAGUUUGAAGAAGUAGGUAUGAAGUGGGGUGUAGAUCAGUACACAGACCCCAGUCCCCUGACUGAAUUUCAGCUGCCUCAGGAGCUUGGCUUCCUGUGGGACCGAAGUCACGGGCAUCCAGAGAGGGCAGAAAAGUAGCAUUGGUGCUUGCCUUGGCAAAGAAGCAAAGUUGUUAGAACUUACUUUGGCCAUUCUUUUGGAAGCCCUGAUAGGUGAGAAUGGCUGGGCAAACAUGGGCAAUUACCCCACGAUGAGAGAGGACAUGUUGGGUGGGGCAUCCUCCCAGGGUCCUUCAGCCCUGACCUUCUUCCCACACAGAAGCCACUGCUGGGCUGGGCGUGGUGGCUCACCCCUGUAAUCCCAACACUUUGGGAGGCUGAGGUGGGCAGAUCAGGAGGUCAGGAGUUCGAGACCAGCCUGACCAACAUGGUGAAACCCCGUCUCUCCUAAAAAUACAAAAAUUAGCCAGGUGUGGUAGUGGGUGCCUGUAGUCCCAGCUACUCAGGAGGCUGAGGCAGGAGAAUCGCUUGAACCCAGGAGGCAGAGGUUGCAGUGAGCCGAGCACAAUGGCAGGACGUGCACAUUCUCAGGGCAGAAGUGAGCUUCUUCAAAGGACAGGUAGGAACUGGUGGCAGCACAGAACAAGUCCUGUGAUUUCCAGAAUGUUCUAAUUUUGGCUUUCUGGUUCUCAGUCCCACAAGGUUGCCACCAAGGACCCUCUUGCCCUGCUGCAGCCACCUCGCCCUUCCUCCCUCACCCUGCGGACCUGACACCUUGGUGUGGGGAAGAUGAAGGUACACUGAUCCCUUUUCCAGACCCCUGGCUGCCCAGCAGUCCUGCAGUUUCAGGGCAGUGUUCCGCCGUGGUGAUUACCAUCAAGGCAGCCAAGAUCAUAUUACCCGGUGUAAUCGCUAGUUGUUUCUCCUUUAGGGUGUCCUCUGCCAAUUGAGUCAGCUUCUUUAUCUGUCCCCAUGUCAGUGGUGUAGCCUAGCGAGUCUUCUCCGUCUUCUGUUUUUUCUCCGAGACGCUCAGCUUCACCAUUUUCCUCAGCUCCCGAAAAGACAGGUCGAAGGGACCGGUCUUCUUUCUCUUUUGAUUCUUUCCUUUUUUCUGACCGGUCGGUGUAGGGUUCAUUGUAGAAUUUUAAAUGUCUAUUGGGUAUCCAAAUGAGUGUUUGAUUGUCUCUUGGUGAAACACAAGGAAAACCCCUCCCCCAAGUAAUACUUUUUCUUAAUUUCCAAGUUUUGGUUCUGGUAUCCUUCCACCAGACCAUUUUUCCUUUCUGUGGCACACCCAUGACUGCAAAACAAGAUAAUAAAUGUCGUUUUACGUGAGCUGUGCUUUCUCCAGUUUGGCGUGUAGCCCAGAUAAACCGAGAAAAAGUAUUAACAGUAACAUGUACGAAAGAAAGUUUUCCGAAUGAUGGGACAUGAGUCAUGUCCAUUUGCCACACUGCAUUUGGUUGAAGCCCCCUAGGGUUACCUUCAGGUUUUUGGGUGGGUAGCUGUAGCACUUGGCACUGAGGAUGUUGUACUAUAUUUUUAGCUUGUUUCCAGGUAAAUGAAUAUUUAUUUUUUAAUCCAGCAGCAUUUACAUGAAUUAGGGAAUGGAAGUUUUGAGCUUUUGUUCGCGUCUGUGUGAAGAGACCACCAAACAGGCUUUGUGUGAGCAACAAGGCUGUUUAUUUCACCUGGGUGCAGGUGGGCUGAGUCCGAAAAGAGAGUCAGCGAAGGGAGAUAGGGGUGGGGCCCUUUUAUAGGAUUUGGGUAGGUAGUGGAAAAUUACAGUCAAAGGGGGUUGUUCUCUGGCGGGCAGGGGCGGGGGUUGCAAGGUGCUCAGUAGGGGAGCUUCUGAGCCAGGAGAAGGAAUUUCACAAGGUAAUGUCAUCAGUUAAGGCAGAAACCAGCCAUUUUCACGUCUUUUGUGAUUCUUCAGUUGCUUCAGGGCAUCUGGAUGUAUACGUGCAGGUCAUAGGGGAUAUGAUGGCUUAGCUUGGGCUCAGAGGCCGGACACUGUUAGAACAGGCGUCACUAAUAAAUUUGCUUGAUUAUUUAAUAGGGUUAAAGGUCCUGGUAAGUUUGUGUGAGCCUAAAUAUGUGUAAUAUAAAAGGGAAAAUUUUGAGUCCUAACUGCUUGUUGAAGUGAACUAAACAAGAAAUUUAACUGAUCAUCAGAAAUAUGUUUUACUAAAGCUGUUUUUACCAUUUUGGCAGCUUGGAAUACGUAAGCAGAGUCAGAGAUUAUAUUAACAGGUUGAUUACAAUCUUCCAAUACAGAUAUAACUGCUUGUAGCUCAGCUCUUUGUGCAGAAUGAAACUGAGUUUGAAUAAUCUUUUCUUCCGGUCCUGUAUAAGCUGCUUUUCCAUUCUGAGAGCCAUCAGUAAAGAUAGUUACGGCUCCCUCCAAAGGAAUGGAACUAGUUAUUUUGGGUAAAAUUUAGGUAGUCAAUUUUUAGGAACUGAAACAUUUUAGUUUUAGGGUAAUGAAUAUCUAUACUGCCAACAAAAUCAGCCAGAUUUGACUGCCAUUCUGACGAAUUAAUAAAGGCUUGUCGAACCUGUGCUUUGUUUAAAGGAACUACAUUUUUAUCUCGAUCGGUGCCAAUGAGUCUGACUAUUCUCAGUUGUAUUUGGCCUAUAAGAAUAGCUAUUUGAUCUAAAUAAAUUGAGAAAGUUCUAGUCGUACUGUGCGUUAAAAAGGACAAUUUAACUAAGUCAACAUUUUGAACAAUCACUCCUAUAGGAGAAUGGAGAGUAGGGAACACUAAGAGCUGUAAUGGAACACUAGGAUCUCUUCUACGGACUUGAGCACUUUGAAUUUUUUCCUCAAUCAUUUGUAACUCUUCAGCUGCAGCAGGCAUCAGAGUUCUUUUGCUACAUGAAUUUGGAUCCCAUCUCAGCAAAGCAAACAGUUUAGACAUUGCUUAGGUGGGAAUUCCUAAAGUAGGUCUUAUCCAAUUAACGUCCCCUAAUAAUUUUUGGAAAUCAUUUAAGGUUUUUAAGGACUCUUUACGAAUUUCCUCCUUUUGAGGCUUUACUGUUUUCUCCUGUACCCUCAUUCCCAGGUAAUGAUAGGGUGUAGUAUGGAUUUUAUCUGGUGCUAUAGCGAGACCUGUAAGUCCCACCACUUCUUGUAGCCUAGCAAAACACUCAAUCCGUCUGUCCCUGCUUGCAGCAGCACAUAAAAUGUCAUCAACAUAAUGAAUAAUAUAGCAAUCAGGAAACUGAUCCCUGACAAGCUGAAUAACCUUUCCAACAAAAGUUUGACUAUUUAACAUUCCUUGGGGUACAACUUUCCAUCGAUAUAUAGUAGCUGGUUCCUUGUUAUUCAUGGCAGGUAUUGUAAAUGCAAAUUUCUCAAAAUCCUGAGGAGCCAAAGGAAUAGUAAAAAACACAAUCUUUUAGAUCAAUUAUUACCAUCGGCCAUUCUUUUGGGAUCAUGGCCGGAGAUGGCAACCCUGGUUGGAGAGCUCCCAUCGGUUGAAUGGCUGCGUUAACCGCUCAUAAGUCGGUCAAUAUGCGCCAUCUAGCGAAUUUUUUCUGAAUUACAAAAACUGGGGCGUUCCAUGGUGAAAAAGAUGGUUCAAUAUGUCCUUUGUCUAAUUGUUCUUUUGCCAAUGAAUGUAAUGCCUCCAGUUUUUGUUGAGGAAGCGGCCACUGAUCAACCCAAACAGGUUUUGGAGUUUUCCGUUUUAAUGCAAUGGGCUUUGGAGGCUCAACAGUGGCCGCACCUAAGAAGGAUAUCCAAUUCCUCUUCGGUCAAAUUUAACUGAGACCUCAAUCGGCUGGGUUAUUCCGUCCUCAUUUUUUUCCUAAUCCUUUCCCAGGAAUAUAUCCCAUUUUGGUCAUCAUUCUUUGGCUCUCAGGACUGUAAAUUGCAGGGGGAAUGGUGAUUUCUGUACCCCAUUGCUGUAACAAAUCUCUCCCCUACAAAUUAAUGGGAAUGAAAGUAAUCAUAGGUUGGAUGGUGACUUCCUGCCCAUCUGGUCUUAAACGAUGUAAAAUUGUAGCACUUUGAUAGACUUCAGAUGCUGUGCCUACUCCAAUCAAGCCCAUAGAAGCCUUUUGUCGGGGCCACGCUUUUGGCCACUGAUUUAGAGCUAUAAUUGAAAUAUUAGCACCUGUGUCUACCAGUCCUUCAAACUGUUUUCCCUGAAUCAUUGUGCACACAGGUCUGUUUUUAGAAGCUUGAUUUACUCAAUAGGCUGCUUUUCCUUCACUGUCAGUACUGCCAAAACCACUUUCUCUUUUUACUGUACUUUUUUCUACUAUUACAUAAGGUAAUAACAACAGCUGAGCAAUUCUAUCUCCUGGGUUUGCACUCCAAGGAAUACUGGAACUAAUAACCAAUUGAAUUUCUCCCACAAAAUCUGAAUCAAUCAGCCCAGUAUGAAUCUGAACUCCUUUUAAGUUUAGACUAGAUGUUCCUAAAACAAGUCCAACUGUCCAUCAGGUAAAGGGCCAAAUACUCCAGUGGGGACUUUUUGAGGGGAUUUCCCUGGAAGCAGAGAGAUAGCUUUUGGGAAACAUAAAUCUAAGCCUGUACUCCCUGCUGUAGCUGGCGCCAAUUGUGUUACUGUGGUGGUUGGGCAAGAGACAAUGAUGGUGGUUGGACUAGAGGCAAUGACCGACUGAGGGACCAACUGCUGGAGUGAGAAUGCCCCCGUUUGGAGCGGGGCCUGAGGCUGGCCCCUCUUCCUGUUUCCCGACUGCGGUUGUAACGGUUGGCCAUUUUUGUCAAAUUUGAAGUGACACUGAUUAGCCCAAUGUUUACCCUUCUGGCACCUGGGACAUAAGCCAGGUGGUUCUUUUAUUUGAUUAUAUCUUGCCUGUUUGUUCGAUUUGUUCUUACGUUCCUUUUUUGUGUGUCCAAAUUGCCCACAAUUGUAACAAUUGCCUGAAAAGUUUUUAAUUGGACCUCCCACUUUUAACUCUGUCGUGGCUUGAACCAUUAUCAUAGCCUUAUGCAUGAUUCCACCAACUCCAUUACAUGCCCUGAUAUAUUCAUUAAUCACAUCAACUCCCACCGGAACCUUUCCUUUCACUGGGUGAAUAGCUGACUGGCAUUCAGGGUUAGUAUUCUCACAAGCCAAUAAUUCUACAAUCACCUUCCUGGCACUUUCUUUCUUUCUUUCUUUUUUUUUUUUUUUUUUUGAGGCGGAGUUUCGCUCUUGUUACCCAGGCUGGAGUGCAGUGGCGUGAUCUCGGCUCACCGCAACCUCCGCCUCCUGGGUUCAAGCAAUUCUCCUGCCUCAGCCUCCUGAGUAGCUGGGAUUACAGACAUGUGCCAUCACGCCCGGCUAAUUUUUAUAUUUUUAGUAGAGACGGGGUUUCUCCAUGUUGGUCAGGCUGGUCUCCAACUCCCGACCUCAGGUGAUCCGCCCACCUCGGCCUCCCAAAGUGCUGGGAUUACAGGCAUGAGCCACCGCACCCGGCCUUCCUGGCACUUUCAUCAGUGAGAGCCUUCUGUGCUGCGUCUUGAAGGCGAGCAAUGAAAUCAGGAUAUGGUUCCUUUGAGCCUUGUCUAAUAGAAUUAAAAGACUGAUAAGUAGUUCCCAGAUCCUGAAUUUUCUCCCAUGCCCUCAAACAGCAAUUGCGAAUUUGUUCAAUGGCAUCAUCUCGAAGUCCUGAUGGUUGUUUACAGUUCCCCAUUGACCCCCUAUUCCUAGAAGUUGUUCAAAUGUAAUGGCAAUAGCAGGAUUAGCAGCACGGUUUUUUCGAUCUUGAUUUUGAGCCUCGUCGGUCCACCAAGUCUUAAACUGAAGAAAUUGGGAGGGCGAAAGUGUAACUUUCGUUAAAAUCUCCCAAUCACACGGAGUCAAUAGCUUAUUCUGAGCCACAGAUUGCAAUAGCGAUCGGAUGAAAGGCGAAUUGGGACCAUACUGACCAACAGCUGCUUUAAGAUCUUUGAGCAGCUUAAAAGAAAAUGGUUCCCAUACCGCUUGAUGGGCUCCACCUUGCUGUCGUGGGGGUUGCAAAACUACUGCAAACUGCCAGGCAUCAAGAUCUCCGGCUAAUCUAGCCUGCCGAAUAGUAAACUGUAAUGGCGAUUCAUUAACAUUAGAUGGCAGUGCAGCCUUAUGUUGUACUGGUGCUACACCAUGCGCUCGUGGUUCCUGAGGCCACAAUUCAUUCAUUCGUGAAACAGGGCAAAUUUGAGAUUCAGACCUCCAAGGCUCCAAGCUACAUUGCUUUAUUGGAGGCGGCCACUCCGGAUGAUCCCAAUGAGGAGCCGACUGCUCCUCAAGGCCCUUCUUUGUUUUAAACAUCUUGGCAUAUAUGGCUUCUCUAUUUUAGGAGCAGCUGAAGGUCCCACGUGCUCCUCAAAAGAAAUUAACUCAUCUCCAGAUAAUCAUCAGAGUCCAACUAAGCGGCUAAUAGAACAGAACAGGACGUGAAAGCAAACAGCCCUUCAAACCCACAGGCCUGUACAUCAAAGGAGUGGUCAACGCCUGAGCACCGUCAGCAGAGCAGCUGCUUUGCCUCUGGGAACAUGCGGGAGAUAGGAGGCUUCCUCCUUAACCCUACUGCAGAGGACUUCUCCUCUUUUACCAGCAGCCUCCUGCAGUACCCUCCCGGGUAAUGGAGCAGGGGUCGCUUCCCUUCCCAUGAGACCUUUGUUCAGGCACUCAAGUGGAAGGUUGAGCAAUAAGCCAACUUUCUUGCUCAGAGGCUCCGCAGACUUCCUGUGGUUGUUUGUUCCACUCUGUGGUCAGUCAAGCAAGCUCACCGCCUGAUUCUCUUAUUGUUGUACUAAGCACAAGCUAUUAUACUUAUGAUUCAUAAUCAUAUUAGUAAAGCACUAUUCUAAAGCA